UUUUUAUGAUGUACGAAACACUAUGCUUAAAGAGCAAUUUUUUUGGUACUUUAUUGUGUUUAGUUUAGGUCAGUGUUGUCUUCCAAAUAAAUAGGAUUUAAAGCAUAAAUGAUUUUGACUUUUGAAAAAUAAUUGUAUUAAAACAACAGUUUUAUUUUUCAUUCUGAGCCAGUUCAAUUAUGUGUAAAUUCAUGUUGUUUCUCUUCUUUUUUAUUGUUUAAAUCUGUUGAGUGGAUGAGCUCAGAUUUAAAUUCUAAAGGCACGUUUAUUGUAACAAAGAAGUUAUGUAUUAAUACUUAGAUUUUCAAUAAAGAUUGACUUGUGUUGCUUAUUUGAGUUAUGUAGUUUUUUAAAAAAUAAUUUAUUAUUCGUCAUGGAAAUUAGUGUAACAUUAAAACCCUUUGGUGUGAAUUGGAGACAAGUUGCAUGUAGAGAGUUACUAUGAAUGUCAGCAGAGCAACAGAUAUUCAUUAUACACAAACACUUGCAGUGUGUUUCAUGCAUGCACCAAUUACACUACUGUGUUUGAUCUAGCUACUUUGCAAUGUGGACAAUUCAAAGCUGUCAUACUCACAAUGUGGAAUUACCAUAGUAGGAAGUGUUUUGAAUUUCCAGGGUUAACCGGCAUCCUAUAGGUAGUCAACAGAAAUCGCUUCCCAUCUUGGUCAACCAAACACACUGGAUCGAAGGUGAAAUAGGGAGAAUAGCUCCUCUCUAGUAUCACGCUACAGUGGUAACUGGAACUAAACCAAGGCUACUUGUCUAGCAUUUAAUCAAUUUUAAAAUACAUUGGGAUUCAGAUUACAAAUUAAUUUAUGAAGGUAAAACUACCUGCCCCAGAGCUCAGAGGUUCAGAAAUGUUUACUGCAUAGGGAAAUGCUACUGGGUAGAAUAUAAUUUACUAAACCAAUAAUUCUACCCAGAAUUCUUUACCAAUUGACCCGAUUCCUGUCAACAACUCCAAAUCAAACAUUUGUGUUUAAGACAAAUAUCAGGGCUUUUCUUGGCAAGGGUUCUCUGCCCAAAAUAAAUGACUCCAAGGGUCAAUUGCAGCAUCCAGUGGUUUAGUUUACAUCAAGUGGACUAACUUCUGGACUAGAAAAUCUCAAAGAA